rnacentral:tRNA from 1 species
GGGGUUGUGGCUCAGUGGUAGAACACUUGACUGGCAUGUAAGAGACCCUGGGUUCGAUCCUCAGCACCACCA